UAGGGACAGUCAAGUGUGUACAUUAGGGAGGGAUACACUGGGUAUAUUCACUAGGGACAGUCACGUGGGUAUACAAAGGAGGGAUACACUGGGGAGAUUCACUAGGGACAGUCACGUGGGUAUACAAAAGAGGGAUACACUGAGGAUGGUUACAUGUAUACAGUAUAGAGGGAUAUAUUAGGUAUAUAUCAGCACAAUAUAAAAACAUACAUGUACUAUGUUGACAAGAAAAAAACAACAAAUCAAGAGUAGGAUAUUGUACAACUAGACAAUUAGAGAACAAAAGCUUGUUCACUUUUCAUUAAUAUGUAGCUAUUGAUUCUACCAAAAGCAGGCCAGUAUAUAUUUGUAUAAUAUUGUGACGUAGCCUCCUGGCCUACAUAUACCAUCUGUUCCAACAAUACGCCAGCACCAGUACACCACUCUCAAUUCCUGGCCUUUUAUCAUACCCAAGUCUUCACAUUUCUUUGCAUAGCAUUGUUACCAAUGAAUCUGAUUAGAUUGCCUGGCAACAACAUUUAGUCACAACCAUGUUUGGUCAAAUCAAUUUCGACUUUGGAUCAUGAUAGAAAGACAAUACUGUCUCUGACAUUAAUACUAACAUCAAUAGCAGGUCUAUUGACAACAUUAUGUCACGGACAUCAACAUUGACAUCAAUAGCAGGUUUACUGACAACGUUCUAUCUCGGACAUCAAUAACAUGUCUACUAUUAUGUCAUGGCCUUCAAUAGCAUGUCUACUGACAACAUUAUGUCUCAGACAUCAAUACUGACAUCAGUAGCAGAUCUAAAGACAACAUUAUGUAUCAGAAAACAAUACUGACAUCAAAAGCAAGUCAAUUUGUACACAUGAUGAUUUCCCCUUGUCAAAUUAUUAAGAUGUUCUCUUGAGGUUAAGCCAUCCAUGCCGAGAUAACAAUUACAUUACUGUAGCUAUUCUUGACUAGUACAAUGUUGAAGCAUUUAUAAGCAGCUUUUUUAUAUUAAUCAUUUCUUGUUAUUUAAACAAGCUUCUUAGCACUCCAUGCUUAUAAUAAUGGGAGUAUUAUUGAACACUGUUUAAUUAUUAAACAACCAAAUGAAAACUGUCCCUAUUAACCCUCCGAUAAAAUUACAUUCUGAAAACGUUUCCUGACCAUCUAGGAUUUCUUUGCUGUAUGUUAAUCAUGUGGUAUGUUAUCAAUAUAUAUUAUGUUAUAAUCUGGAUAUUGAUGUAAAUUCACGUUACUAGGAAAAGUUCAGACCUUUUCUCGGAAGUGCCCGACAAUACCCAAAUCAAUAUUAACUAGGAAAUCUAAUUGAGGUAGAACUUGUCUAGUCCACAUCUUACAAAGCAAAUAGCAGUGACAGCUGAGACAAUAUAGCGGACGGUAAGUUACUUACUGAAAUAAGUUACAGAGAUGAGUGAUUAUGAACAAUACCAGCAUCAAAGAAUAGCUUGAUAACCAAGAAGUUUUGAAGAUAAAAACAAUUACCCAAGGGGAACAUUUUCCCAGUAUUCAUCACCUUAAACAAAGAUCACUUGCAUCACAAGAUAACGAAAACCAAUAGUAUAUAACCUUUAAAUGGCCAAGGCUAAUUUACUUCAUACAGUUAAUCAGAUCGAAAUUGUGAAGGGAUAAAAUAUUAAGUGCCAAUAAGAAAUACAAUGCCAAUGAUGCCUGUAGACUGAUGAUGCCUGUAGACCGAUGCCAGUGGACUGAUGAUGCCUGUAGACUGAUGAUGUCUGUUCGACUGAUGAUGCCUGUAGACUGAUGCCAGUAAACUGAUGAUGCCUGUAUAUGUAGACCGAUGCCAGUAAACUGAUGAUGUCUGUAGACUGAUGAUGCCUGUAGACUGAUGCCAGUAAACUGAUGAUGCCUGUAGACCGAUGCCAGUUGACUGAUGAUGCCAAGGGAUACACGAUCACAGAUAGUGAACCCAGUAAAAAAUGAGGCUAGUAGAUCUGACACAAGCAUAUGUUUUUUUACACAUCAUACUUGCUAUCAUGUCAGUAUUAAGGUCAUACAAAAGACAACAAAGUACCAAGGCUUGGCGGCUAUCCCCCCCAAAAAAAGAUGAAUGCAGAAAACAAAUAAACUUUUGUGACUGAAAAUUAAAUCAAUGUAAAUGUGUAUCCAUGUAUAUAAUUGUCUCAAACAAUGCCUGCUUUGUGACAGUUCCAUGUCAAUUCAAUUCCAUGUUUGUCCGUCGAGAAUUAAAUCAACCAAUUAACAUAAGGUCAAUGUCUGUCUAUUGAGAAUAAUAUUAAUUAUCUCAAUGUCUGUCCUAUGAGAAUUCAGUCAAUCAAUUAAGUAAAACCUAAUGUCUGUCCUUGGAGAAAAAGUCCCAAAUAAGUUAAUGUUUGUCCCAUCACAAAUCUGUUUCAGUACAGUAACAAUUAGCCAAAAUGUCUGUCCUUGAUUAGGUGUCACUCACUGUUUAUUUUUGCGACAAUUAAGUCAAUGUCUGUCCUUAAACAUAACCAUACAAGUAUCUGAAUCAAACGAUAAUCAACGUAACACAAGUGUCCUCUAAAGGAACAUUAAUAAUAACAUGUCAAAAAUCCAACAAUAGGUUAAAUAAGAAAAUAUACUCAAACAUUACAAGAUUUCAUUCUUAAAAUUGGAUAUAUAAAAAGGGUCAAUAUAAAACAGUGCAAGAAACACAGGAUCCGAUCAAUAUCGUAUGAUCAGAAAAAUAUAGGAAAAACUGUCCAUCUCUAACAAAAAUGGCUGCUCAACUCAACGAUGGAUAGUUAGCUGUAUAGGGUAAAAUAGACUAGAAUACAGAUCUAUCACAUAUAACUAGUAUCUUCUUACAAAUUAGGAAUUAUAUACAUACAAAAAUAACCUUUAAAUAACACAUAUUUUUUUUAAAUGGUAUUUUACAUAAAAAUAAUAUUUCAAUAUUAAGACAGUGUAAAAUUGACCUUCAAACACAAAUCCCCACGAUUGUUAUACAAUGUUAUAAUAGUCAGUGAGAACGGUUUGUCCCCAACAGUCACAGGAAGUCUAUCUAUAGAAUCACUAAAACAUGACACAUACAUUUACAUACUAGACUGAUCUACUAUAUUUAUACAGCUUAUAAUGUACAGCAACAUGCUCUCUAUUAUUUUUAAAAAAAAAUUUUUUUAUUUGAUUUUAGUUUUUUGCUUCAGUUAAUAGUUAUACAGAGUUAAAACUAAGGGGGAAAUGUUGUUAACGGCCAAAAGCAUGCUAUUUUUCAUUAAAAUAUCAAAUAUUACUCAGUUAACACAGAAGUGUUGUUUUUUUAAUCUAAUAUCAAUUUAUUGUUUAAAAUAUAAUAUUUUUUGUAAUAUUUUCAAAUGAUAAACGAUAUGUACAGCAUGAGGGAUCCUUAUUUUUCAAUAUUUGACAAACACAAAUAUCAAAUUUUAUAUGAAAACACACAAAAAAAAUACACAUAGGUUAAUGUCUAAAAUAGGUUAUUAUAG